AUCGCAAGCCGACUCAUCGCUUCUGUUGAAUGAUAGAAGAGGAAAGUCCGGGCAGCAUAGAGUAGCGUACUUCUGAAAAGGGAGCAUCCUUAUUGGAUAGAGAAAGUGCCGCAGAAAACAGACUACCUCUAAUCAAUCUUUGAUUCGGGGAAAAGGUGAAAAGGUGGAGUAAGAGCCCACCACCCUGAUAGCAAUUGAAGGGGUAUGGUAAACCUUACGUGCUGAAAGACCAAAUAAGUCCUGCAUUUGAAAGUCACUCGCUUGAGCAGGAUGGGGUGGGUCGUUAGAUUCUUUUUUUAGGACCAGAUAAAUGAUGAGAUAAAACAGAACCCGGCUUAUUGGCUUGCUUUUUGU
rnacentral:RNase_P_RNA from 1 species